rnacentral:rRNA from 1 species
AUGAACGCUGGCGGCGUGCCUAAUACCUGCAAGUCGCGCGAACGGACGAGAAGCUUGCUUCUCUGAUGUUAGCGGCGGACGGGUGAGUAACACGUGGAUAACCUACCUAUAAGACUGGGAUAACUUCGGGAAACCGUAGCUAAUACCGGAUAAUAUUUUGAACCGCAUGGUUCAAAAGUGAAAGACGGUCUUGCUGUCACUUAUAGAUGGAUCCGCGCUGCAUUAGCUAGUUGGUAAGGUAACGGCUUACCAAGGCAACGAUGCAUAGCCGACCUGAGAGGGUGAUCGGCCACACUGGAACUGAGACACGGUCCAGACUCCUACGGGAGGCAGCAGUAGGGAAUCUUCCGCAAUGGGCGAAAGCCUGACGGAGCAACGCCGCGUGAGUGAUGAAGGUCUUCGGAUCGUAAAACUCUGUUAUUAGGGAAGAACAUAUGUGUAAGUAACUGUGCACAUCUUGACGGUACCUAAUCAGAAAGCCACGGCUAACUACGUG